UACGGAGGGAGCGAACGUUGUUCGGAUUCACUGGGCGUAAAGGGCGUGUAGGCGGUCUGGCAAGUCAGGGGUGAAAUGCCACGGCUCAACCGUGGAAUUGCCUUUGAAACUACCGGACUUGAGGCCGUGAGAGGAGACUGGAAUUCCCAGUGUAGCGGUGAAAUGCAUAGAUAUUGGGAAGAACACCAGUGGCGAAGGCGGCCCACUGGAUCGGUACUGACGCUGAGGUGCGAAAGCGUGGGGAGCAAACAGG
rnacentral:rRNA from 1 species